rnacentral:tRNA from 1 species
UCCCUUAUAGCUCAGUCGGUAAAGAAUCUGCCUGCAGUGCAAGAGACCCAGGUUCGAUCCCUGGGUUGGGAA